rnacentral:lncRNA from 1 species
GUGGUACUUCUCCCCACAGUUCGAUAGGAAGGGGUUGUUGAAAGGUACCCCUUCUUCUAUCCAUAACUGGAAGGGGAAGUUUCUUUAUGUUCGAUGCCCGACCUUGAGGCUAGAGUUGCCCCCUUGGGGCUCCCUGAGGGACUCCGUCCGCCGGACACCCAGCCUGGGGGGGACGACCAUCAAGCCUCUCAGAAACUCCUCAAAUAUCCAACUCUUUCUCUCCCCAACCUCCUAAAGGAGCAGUUUCUGUUCAACAUCGGCCUGAGCCCCCU